GUUUGCAUAAGAUUACCACUAAAGACAAGGUUUAUAACGAAUGUGUCAAGCAAAUUUUCCACUUUGAUGAAGACGGUGACGGAACUAUCAAGAAAAAUAUUUUGAAAAGUAUGGGGAGGUCUUGGAAGGAAACAAGGCUGAGGUUGUAUAAUGAUUUUUACAAGCCAAUAUUCACGAUUGAACAAAAUAUUGAGCAUCGUCCACUGAAAAUUGAUCGAGAGCAUUGGAGAUCGUUCCUUGACUAUCGCGCCAAAGAUGAGACGAAGGAGAAGUGCAGGAAAAAUGCGAUUAAUCGAUCAAAACUAUAUACCCACACUGGUUGUUCAAAAAGCUUCGCACGGCGGAUAAAAGAAGAGUCGGAAUAACAAGGGAGGACAGUCGGAAGAGGAGAGUUAUGGAUCAAAGUGCACAAAAAAAAGUUGGCUCCUAUAUCAAUGAUGAAGUAAGAGCAAUUGGUGAAAGACUUUAGGAGAUUGAGCAACAGGAUGAGUCUUCUAGAGUAUUGUCUCAAAAUGGUUCCAUUGCUCAGAUUUUCGGAAAAGAGAAACCAAGUAGAGUACGUGGUGUGGGUUUCAGACUGACUCCUAGUCAACUCUUUGGUCCGAAUUCACAUACACCGGGCACCGGAGUCCAAUUAGAGGAGAUGCAGAGGAAGCUUAUUGAACUGCAGGAAGAGCUGGAAGGCGAAAAGUUGAAGAAGAAGGCGAUGGAGGAUGAGGCAGCAGCAGGGAAGAAAAAGAUGAAGCCGAUGGAGAGUGCUCUGAUUUUUCUAUUUCAAUGGCAGGGUAAGGAGCUACCACCAGACAUCACUACAGGGAUGAGUUUUGUAGAAUGAUAGAGUGAAAAAUAGUAGAAUAGGAUUGGAGAUAGUUUGGAUAGAAGCAAACAUUUUUUUAAAUUAGACUUUGCAACUCUUUGCAAGAGAUUUGUUUUCUUCGU